GUUUUUUUUCGUCUGGUAUCAUCGUGUUUCUCACGUGUGUUUUAAUCAGCGCCGUUUGUCAGUCGCGUGGAAUGACAUUUAAAAAAAUCCUUGAAUCUUGUUCUCGGCACAUAAGUAAACUCAGGAACUAUGGAGCAGAUGUUAAUCUCUCUCCACCGUAUGAAUUUAUGUGUCAGGUUGGAGAUCCUGUACUGCGAACUCGCGCAGAGGCAGUCGACCUGGUAAAGGUCACCAGCGCUGAAGUUCAAAACAUAAUUAAUGUAAUGCGGAUUGUCAUGAAUAAAAGUUAUUCGACGGGCAUAUCAGCACCUCAAGUGGGUUGUCCACUGAGGAUUAUAAUGAUGGAGUUCCCCAUGAAAUACAUGAAGCUGGCCCAAGCGGAAGAAGCAAAGACACGUGUUUACCAGCCUUUUCCACUGAAGGUGUUCAUCAAUCCUACUAUGGAAGUUAUAAACAAUCAGAGGCUCGUAUUCCCUGAAGGCUGCGAGAGCAUCCGAGGUUUCACUGCAGAUGUGCCGAGAUACUAUGAAGUGAAGGUUUCAGGUCUGAAUGAAAAAGGAGAGGCCCAUGAGUGGCAGGCAUAUGGAUGGCCAGCUAGAAUCAUUCAGCAUGAGAUGGACCACCUUGAAGGCAGCCUCUUUAUUGAUCUCAUGGACUCACGGACUUUCCACUUCAACUACUGGCAUCUAAUCAAGAAGCUGCCCAAGUCAAGAUUGAAGCAGUGAUCGUGGAUGUGUCAGACAACGGCAUGGGCCAGCUACCCCGUUUUGACAUGCCCGACCCCAAUUCUUACAACUAGCUGGCAACGGUGAGACGGACUUUGUGAUGUGGUGCUGUGUCUGCCCAGAAGAAGCACACAAUUGCCCAAGGAAGGGACUCAACUAAACAAAGAACAACAUGCAUACCACAGUCCCUCCUGAGCUGGAAUGCUGCAGCCAACUUGAGCUGGUUCUGUACAAAGGGGAAAAAACUUUCCCAAGCUGCAUCUGUGCAAGCUAAUGUGCGAUAGCACAUGUUGAAAAGUGGCACUGCCUUCAUGCAUACGAACAUGGUGCAUCAAUGAGUCCUCAAGGGUGCCUUGCAACAUGGUGAUGCAGAUCAAUGUGCAUCAGGUGCGACUCGCAUUGUGGGAGUGGUGCAAAGGUUGCUGUCGGAUGCAGGAUGCCUAAAAUGUGUGCUGGCGUCACAACAGCCAGUAGCAUUCCUUGUGACAAUGUGCCUACUAGAUCAUUGUGCAAGCCUUGAAUUUCGGCAGCAGUGCCAACAGAAAGGUACAGCUAGACUGCACAGACUGCGCUUGUUGGAAAUGCGAGAUUUUAGGUGACUUAAAAGAGCUACCUAUGCAAUCGAUUACGUACUAGGAGGGCUAUUAUAAUUUCAGUGUUUCACACAAAGUAACCAUUCCUGCAGAAACCCUAUGCACUUCCAUUUUUUUUCACCAGCACAGCAUUGCUUCCAUGUACAGUAACCAGUGUUGCGGGCAUCCAGACUACGCAAAUAACAAAAUUCUGUUUGAAGAAUUUGUGCUUGCUUUCUAAAAAAAACCACUGCACAUUUCGAUGCUUCGAAGGGUUGACUUUCCUUUGUACUACAAAAUAGUAGGUCCUCAAAAAAUUGUAGACAGUCUAUUUAAUGUGCUGGAACUGUCAGCUUCUGCUCUGCAAAUUUUCCUGCUUUCCAACUUUACACUCUCACAUUAUUUAACAUUCUGUAAUUUUUAUUUUAUAAUGUUCACUUUAUGAUGUUAACAUUCUGUGCUGUUUACCUAUAACACCUCUAUAGUGCUUUUUCAUGUUGAUUUAGCUUUUCUUACUUGUACAUACAACAAGCAGCCUUCUACUGCAGUUUUUUAAUAGUACCUGUGAAGAUGUGUUUUAAUUAUGAUGUGUUCAUUUUAAGUGGGAAGUGUACAUGCAAUAAAGAUUACAUUUUGAAAGUUUAA